ensembl:ncRNA W01A11.15 ncRNA
AUAACUUCAACUCAAUUCCCAUCUAUCUCUUGGUUCUCAACAAUCUCCAAUUUCAUUCGGAACGGCAAAACUGCGCACACUAUUGGGGGCCACUUUUCUGUGGUUCGGGGGGCGAGAUGUUAUUCGAUACUAUUUGGUAUAAUAAUUUAGGAAAGCUAAUUGAAUCGAAAUGUGUGGCAUUUUCUCAGGAGUCAGUGGCAGAUAAAAUG